rnacentral:rRNA from 1 species
UGGGGAAUUUUGCGCAAUGGGGGAAACCCUGACGCAGCAACGCCGCGUGAGUGAUGAAGGCCUUCGGGUCGUAAAGCUCUGUCAGAGGGGAAGAAAUGCAGGGGUGCUAAUAUCAUCUUUGCUUGACGGUACCCUCAAAGGAAGCACCGGCUAACUCCGUGCCAGCAGCCGCGGUAAUACGGAGGGUGCGAGCGUUAUUCGGAUUUAUUGGGCGUAAAGCGCAUGUAGGCGGUUCGGUAAGUCUGGUGUGAAAGCCCUCGACUCAAUCGAGGAAGUGCAUUGGAUACUGUCGAACUGGAGUACAGGAGGGGUGAGCGGAAUUCCAGGUGUAGAGGUGAAAUUCGUAGAUAUCUGGAGGAACAACAGCGGCGAAGGCGGCUCACUGGACUGUAACUGACGCUCAGAUGCGAUAGUGUGGGGAGCAAACAG